GAUGAACGCUGGCGGCGUGCCUAAUACAUGCAAGUCGAGCGAACGGACGAGAAGCUUGCUUCUCUGAUGUUAGCGGCGGACGGGUGAGUAACACGUGGAUAACCUACCUAUAAGACUGGGAUAACUUCGGGAAACCGGAGCUAAUACCGGAUGAUAUUUUGAACCGCAUGGUUCAAAAGUGAAAGACGGUCUUGCUGUCACUUAUAGAUGGAUCCGCGCUGCAUUAGCUAGUUGGUAAGGUAACGGCUUACCAAGGCAACGAUGCAUAGCCGACCUGAGAGGGUGAUCGGCCACACUGGAACUGAGACACGGUACAGACUCCUACGGGAGGCAGCAGUAGGGAAUCUUCCGCAAUGAGCGAAAGCCUGACGGAGCAACGCCGCGUGAGUGAUGAAGGUCUUCGGAUCGUAAAACUCUGUUAUUAGGGAAGAACAUAUGUGUAAGUAACUGUGCACAUCUUGACGGUACCUAAUCAGAAAGCCACGGCUAACUACGUG
rnacentral:rRNA from 1 species